rnacentral:rRNA from 2 species
CGAGCGGACAGAAGGGAGCUUGCUCCCGGAUGUUAGCGGCGGACGGGUGAGUAACACGUGGGUAACCUGCCUGUAAGACUGGGAUAACUCCGGGAAACCGGAGCUAAUACCGGAUAGUUCCUUGAACCGCAUGGUUCAAGGAUGAAAGACGGUUUCGGCUGUCACUUACAGAUGGACCCGCGGCGCAUUAGCUAGUUGGUGAGGUAACGGCUCACCAAGGCGACGAUGCGUAGCCGACCUGAGAGGGUGAUCGGCCACACUGGGACUGAGACACGGCCCAGACUCCUACGGGAGGCAGCAGUAGGGAAUCUUCCGCAAUGGACGAAAGUCUGACGGAGCAACGCCGCGUGAGUGAUGAAGGUUUUCGGAUCGUAAAGCUCUGUUGUUAGGGAAGAACAAGUGCAAGAGUAACUGCUUGCACCUUGACGGUACCUAACCAGAAAGCCACGGCUAACUACGUGCCAGCAGCCGCGGUAAUACGUAGGUGGCAAGCGUUGUCCGGAAUUAUUGGGCGUAAAGGGCUCGCAGGCGGUUUCUUAAGUCUGAUGUGAAAGCCCCCGGCUCAACCGGGGAGGGUCAUUGGAAACUGGGAAACUUGAGUGCAGAAGAGGAGAGUGGAAUUCCACGUGUAGCGGUGAAAUGCGUAGAGAUGUGGAGGAACACCAGUGGCGAAGGCGACUCUCUGGUCUGUAACUGACGCUGAGGAGCGAAAGCGUGGGGAGCGAACAGGAUUAGAUACCCUGGUAGUCCACGCCGUAAACGAUGAGUGCUAAGUGUUAGGGGGUUUCCGCCCCUUAGUGCUGCAGCUAACGCAUUAAGCACUCCGCCUGGGGAGUACGGUCGCAAGACUGAAACUCAAAGGAAUUGACGGGGGCCCGCACAAGCGGUGGAGCAUGUGGUUUAAUUCGAAGCAACGCGAAGAACCUUACCAGGUCUUGACAUCCUCUGACAACCCUAGAGAUAGGGCUUUCCCUUCGGGGACAGAGUGACAGGUGGUGCAUGGUUGUCGUCAGCUCGUGUCGUGAGAUGUUGGGUUAAGUCCCGCAACGAGCGCAACCCUUGAUCUUAGUUGCCAGCAUUCAGUUGGGCACUCUAAGGUGACUGCCGGUGACAAACCGGAGGAAGGUGGGGAUGACGUCAAUCAUCAUGCCCCUUAUGACCUGGGCUA